UACGGAGGGGGCUAGCGUUGUUCGGAAUUACUGGGCGUAAAGCGCGCGUAGGCGGACCUGCAAGUCGGGGGUGAAAGCCCGAGGCUCAACCUCGGAACUGCCUUCGAUACUGCGGGUCUCGAGUCCGGGAGAGGUGAGUGGAAUUCCAGGUGUAGCGGUGAAAUGCGUAGAUAUCUGGAGGAACACCGGUGGCGAAGGCGGCAUCCUGGACCAACACUGAUGCUGAGGAGCGAAAGCCAGGGGAGCAAACGGG
rnacentral:rRNA from 1 species